UUUAUUAUGAGCCCGUUUGGCUUAACUUCUGUAAAAGAGAUUUUUGAAAAAUAUUUUUGAUUUGGAGAAGUGAUUUUGGUUAAAAGCUGCAGAGCGUUUGGUUGAGUUUAAAUAAAAGUGAUUUUUCUGAAAUAAUUUUGAAAAACUGUUUGGCAAAUUUUUUUUGAUGUUUGCAUAAAUUAAUAUUUUUAUUAAAUUUUAUUUUAAAAUAAUUUAAAAUCUAAAUUUAAAUUUGAAUUAAAAUUAAAAUUUUUAAAUUUCAAAAUUGUACAAAAUUUAAAAUUUGAUAUUUUAAUUUAAAAAAUAAUUUAAAAUUUUAAAAAUUUAAAAUUUAAAAUAAUUAUGAAAUUUAAAAUAUAAAAUUAAAAAUUUGAAUAUUUAAAAUUUAAAAUUUGAAUAUUUAAAACUUAAAUUUUAAAAUUUUGAAAUUUAUAAUUUGAAGAUUAAAACUUGUAAUUUAAAAUUUAAAAUUUUUAAAUUUAAAAUUUAAAAUCUAAAAUGUCAAAUUUUAAAUUUGAUCUUCAAUUUGAAAUUUGAAAUUUAAAAUUUAAAAUUUAAAAUCUAAAAUUUGAGAUUUAAAAUUUAAAUUAAAAUUUGAGAUUUGAAAUUUAAAAAUUAAAAUUUAAAAUUUGAAAUUUGAAAUCUAUUUUUAAAAUUUUAAAAUUUAAAAGUUAAAAUUUAAAAAUUCGAAAAUGAAUCCGAAAAUUAAAAUUUAAAAUUAAAAUUAAAUUUAAAAUUAAAAUAAAAAUUUGAAGCUUGAAUUCAAAAUCAGAAUCAGAUUUCAAGAAGCUGUUUUUUUCUGUUUCUGACUCUGGAGCCUUCAAAAUUAGUUUUCUGAUUCUGAAGUAGAAUCAGAUUUUAAAAAUAAAAUUACCAAACGCUCUAUUGAGCCGAAAAUAACUUUUAACUCAAAUUUACUUUUGAAAGACACCUUCAUAUUGGUCAUUUUGU
rnacentral:lncRNA from 1 species